GGCGGCGGUGGUGGAUACAUGAGAAGCGGUGGCGGUGGAGGAGGACCAGAUCGUCGUGAUCAUCGAGACAACGAUCGAAACG
rnacentral:sRNA from 1 species